AAGGAGUUGAAGAAACAACUCGAUGAGCAAGAAAGAUUGGGUCUCAUUCGGCCUAGUACUUCUCCGUGGGGUUGUGGUGUUCUUUUUGUGAAGAAGAAGGAUGGAUCGAGUCGACUUUGUGUUGAUUACCGUCCAGUAAACAAGAAGACCAUCAAGAACAAAUACCCACUUCCCAACAUCAAUGAGCUGUUCGAACAACUCAAGGGUGCUCAAGUAUUCUCCAAGCUUGAUCUCCGUAUGGGUUAUCAUCAGAUUCGUAUUCGUGAGCAAGAUAUUCCCAAGACGGCGUUCAGAACAAGUUUUGGUUCAUAUGAAUACACCGUCAUGUCUUUUGGCCUCGCCAACGCUCCUCCGACGUUCUCUCGUAUGAUGAACUUCAUCUUCAACCCCGUACACCAAUGA
rnacentral:rRNA from 1 species